rnacentral:lncRNA from 1 species
UCCCGUUUGGAUUGGCUUAUUUUGAGCUUAUGUGGAUUUAUCUACUUCCAUAAGCCUUUUUAAAGGUGUUUGGGUAAAUAAAUAAAAAUAGUUUAUCAUAGUUUCAUAAGCUGCUUAUGCCAUAUUUUAAUAAGCUUAAAUUUUCAGCUUACCCUCCGGCUUAACAAGGAGCUUAUGAAUUUAUGUAACCUCCUUCGAUUCU